rnacentral:lncRNA from 1 species
CAGUAAUGCCGUUUGGAUGCUUGUCCCUUCCAAAUCUCACAUUGGAAUGUGAUUCCUAAGUGCUGGAUGUGGGCGUGAUGGAAGACGUUUGAAUCAUGGAGGUGGUUCCCUCACGAAUGGACCAGUGCCAUCCUCAGCUCCAAGAGGCCUCACCAGAAGCUGAGGAGAUGCUGGCACCAUGCUUUUUGUACUGCCUGCAGAGACAUAAGCCAGUUAUUCCUUUUUCUUUCUAAAUUAACCAGUCUCAGGUAUACCUUUAUAAUGAUGCAAAACUAAUGUAGCCAGGCUCUGCAAAACAUUAGAGAAGGUUUGGUAGAACAAGUUACUAACUCUGCUGCUGUGGCUGGUACAGAGAGAAUUUUUUUUUUUUUUUUUUUGAGAUGGAGUUUUUCUCUUGUUACCCAGGCUGGAGUGCAAUGGGAUGAUCUCGGCUCACCGCAACCUCCACCUCUUGGGUUCAGGCAAUUCUCCUGCCUCAGCCUCCUGAGUAGCCAGGAUUACAGGCACAUGCCAACACACCCAGCUAAUUUUUUGUAUUUUUAGUAGAGACGGGGUUUCACCAUUGACCAGGAUGGUCUCGAUCACUUGACCUCGUGAUCCACCCGCUUCGGCCUCCCAAAGUGCUGGGAUUACAGGCUGGGAUACAGGCGUGGUGGCACCUGGCCUGAGAAAAUUUAUUAUCUGUCUCCUCCAGCACUUAUUUUAUAUUUCAGUCACCUUUACCCAGCAUUUCUGCUGCUGUAGGAUGUUAGUCCUAGAGCUGGGUCAGUCUGACUCUUUACCUUAAUGGGGACAUCUGAGCCCAUGUUUUUCUUGCUCUUAUUGAGCUAUGGUCCCUGUAAUUUCCUAUGCAUUCAUAUUACCAGGCAC